ACAGGGAUUGCCCCAGUAACGGCGAGUGAAGCGGCAACAGCUCAAAUUUGAAAUCUGGUCCCCAGGGCCCGAGUUGUAAUUUGUAGAGGAUGCUUUUGGCGAGGCGCCUUCCGAGUUCCCUGGAACGGGACGCCACAGAGGGUGAGAGCCCCGUCUGGUCGGAUGCCAAGCCUAUGUAAAGCUCCUUCGACGAGUCGAGUAGUUUGGGAAUGCUGCUCAAAAUGGGAGGUAUAUGUCUUCUAAAGCUAAAUACCGGCCAGAGACCGAUAGCGCACAAGUAGAGUGAUCGAAAGAUGAAAAGCACUUUGAAAAGAGGGUUAAAAAGUACGUGAAAUUGUUGAAAGGGAAGCGCCUAUGACCAGACUUGGGCCCGGUGAAUCAUCCAGCGUUCUCGCUGGUGCACUUUGCCGGGCACAGGCCAGCAUCAGUUUGGCGCGGGGGACAAAGGCUUCGGGAAUGUGGCUCCCCUCGGGGAGUGUUAUAGCCCGUUGCGCAAUACCCUGCGCCGGACUGAGGUACGCGCUCCGCAAGGAUGCUGGCGUAAUGGUCAUCAGCGACCCGUCUUGAAACACGGACCAAGGAGUCGUCUUCGUAUGCGAGUGUUCGGGUGUAAAACCCCUACGCGUAAUGAAAGUGAACGCAGGUGAGAGCUUCGGCGCAUCACCGACCGAUCCUGAUGUUCUCGGAUGGAUUUGAGUAAGAGCAUACGGGGCCGGACCCGAAAGAAGGUGAACUAUGCCUGUAUAGGGUGAAGCCAGAGGAAACUCUGGUGGAGGCUCGCAGCGGUUCUGACGUGCAAAUCGAUCGUCAAAUAUGGGCAUGGGGGCGAAAGACUAAUCGAACCUUCUAGUAGCUGGUUUCCG
rnacentral:rRNA from 1 species